rnacentral:rRNA from 1 species
GAGGAACUCUGGCGGCGCGCCUAACACAUGCAAGUCGAACGAGAGAUGAGGAGCUUGCUCUUCAAAUCGAGUGGCGAACGGGUGAGUAACGCGUGAGGAACCUGCCCCAAAGAGGGGGACAACAGUUGGAAACGACUGCUAAUACCGCAUAAGCCCACGGCUCGGCAUUGAGCAGGGGGAAAAGGAGCAAUCCGCUUUGAGAUGGCCUCGCGUCCGAUUAGCUAGUUGGUGAGGUAACGGCCCACCAAGGCGACGAUCGGUAGCCGGACUGAGAGGUUGAACGGCCACAUUGGGACUGAGACACGGCCCAGACUCCUACGGGAGGCAGCAGUGGGGAAUAUUGCACAAUGGGGGAAACCCUGAUGCAGCGACGCCGCGUGGAGGAAGAAGGUCUUCGGAUUGUAAACUCCUGUUGUUGAGGAAGAUAAUGACGGUACUCAACAAGGAAGUGACGGCUAACUACGUGCCAGCAGCCGCGGUAAAACGUAGGUCACAAGCGUUGUCCGGAAUUACUGGGUGCAAAGGGAGCGCAGGCGGGAGAACAAGUUGGAAGUGAAAUCCAUGGGCUCAACCCAUGAACUGCUUUCAAAACUGUUUUUCUUGAGUAGUGCAGAGGUAGGCGGAAUUCCCGGUGUAGCGGUGGAAUGCGUAGAUAUCGGGAGGAACACCAGUGGCGAAGGCGGCCUACUGGGCACCAACUGACGCUGAGGCUCGAAAGUGUGGGUAGCAAACAGGAUUAGAUACCCUGGUAGUCCACACCGUAAACGAUGAUUACUAGGUGUUGGAGGAUUGACCCCUUCAGUGCCGCAGUUAACACAAUAAGUAAUCCACCUGGGGAGUACGACCGCAAGGUUGAAACUCAAAGGAAUUGACGGGGGCCCGCACAAGCAGUGGAGUAUGUGGUUUAAUUCGACGCAACGCGAAGAACCUUACCAAGUCUUGACAUCCCUUGACGAUGCUGGAAACAGUAUUUCUCUUCGGAGCAAGGAGACAGGUGGUGCAUGGUUGUCGUCAGCUCGUGUCGUGAGAUGUUGGGUUAAGUCCCGCAACGAGCGCAACCCUUAUGGUCAGUUACUACGCAAGAGGACUCUGGCCAGACUGCCGUUGACAAAACGGAGGAAGGUGGGGAUGACGUCAAAUCAUCAUGCCCUUUAUGACUUGGGCUACACACGUACUACAAUGGCGUUAAACAAAGAGAAGCAAGACCGCGAGGUGGAGCAAAACUCAGAAACAACGUCCCAGUUCGGACUGCAGGCUGCAACUCGCCUGCACGAAGUCGGAAUUGCUAGUAAUCGUGGAUCAGCAUGCCACGGUGAAUACGUUCCCGGGCCUUGCACA